rnacentral:rRNA from 1 species
AUUGAACGCUGGCGGCAUGCUUUACACAUGCAAGUCGAACGGCAGCGGGGAGGAGCUUGCUUCUCUGCCGGCGAGUGGCGUACGGGUGAGUAAUACAUCGGAACGUGUCGAGAAGAGGGGGAUAACCACCCGAAAGGGUGGCUAAUACCGCAUAAAUUCUGAGGAAGAAAGCUGGGGACCUAGGAAUAGGCCUAGCGCUUUUUGAGCGGCCGAUGUCGGAUUAGCUAGUUGGUGAGGUAAAGGCUCACCAAGGCGAAGAUCUGUAGCGGGUCUGAGAGGAUGAUCCGCCACACUGGGACUGAGACACGGCCCAGACUCCUACGGGAGGCAGCAGUGGGGAAUUUUGGACAAUGGGGGCAACCCUGAUCCAGCCAUGCCGCGUGUAUGAAGAAGGCCUUAGGGUUGUAAAGUACUUUUGUUAGGGAAGAAAAGUCAGCUGUGAAUAAUGGCUGAUACUGACGGUACCUAAAGAAUAAGCACCGGCUAACUACGUG